GUCCUACGGGGCGCAGCAGUGGGGAAUAUUGCACAAUGGGGGAAACCCUGAUGCAGCGAUGCCGCGUGGAGGAAGAAGGUUUUCGGAUUGUAAACUCCUUUUAUCAGGGACGAUAAUGACGGUACCUGAAGAAAAAGCUCCGGCUAACUACGUGCCAGCAGCCGCGGUAAUACGUAGGGAGCAAGCGUUGUCCGGAUUUACUGGGUGUAGAGGGUGCGUAGGCGGGCUUGCAAGUCAGAAGUGAAAUCUAUGGGCUUAACCCAUAAACUGCUUUUGAAACUGUAAGUCUUGAGUGAAGUAGAGGG
rnacentral:rRNA from 1 species